CGUGCACCCCCAGUUCUGCAGGGAAAUGCCUCUGGAGAUGUUAAUGGCAGCUCUCUUUGCGAUUGCGACUGCCCGAGCAAGCCCGGUAGCUGGCUGGCGACAGGGAGAUGGAGCAAUCAGUGGUGGUGGCUCACGACAUUGCUGUGUUCUCCUAAAAGGCUGGAUCUGCUGCAGCCAUUUUGUGACUGGGGGCUAUCAGUCAAGUACCAAGCAAGGCCAGCAGAGCAGAAAGAAGGAACGACCCUGGAUUCUUGGUGACCAUGCUGAGGCGCUGCAGAGGUGGGUCUAACUUCCCUCUCCUUGAACCUUGGGUGAGCCUUUGUGACUGCUUUGACCAGUGGGCAGAGGAAGUGAAGCUACAUGACUUUGCAGCUUGGUCGUAGAGCUGGUAGGAUCUCCACCCGACUCUCUUUUGGGACAUGCUCCGGACACCGAGCCAUGAACUGUCAUGUAAGGAGCCCGGCUCUUCUGAGGCUGUCGUGCUGGAAAGAACACUUACCGCUGGGGCACCUGGGUGGCUUAGUUCUUAAGCUCAGGUUAUGAUCCUGGGGUCCUGGGAUGGAGUUCCAUUCUGAGCUCCCUGCUCAGCAGAGAGCCUGCUUCUCCCUCUCCCUCCUCCACUCCCCCAGCUGUGCUCUCUCUCUCUCUCUGACAAAUAAAUAAAUAAAAUCUAAAAAAAAACCCACAAAAAAACAACACUUAAGUCUUAAGGCAGAUACCUGAGGUGUGCCCACGGUUUUAAUCUUCCGAGCCCAGUGCCAGGGGCAUAAAAGGAAAGGGCGUCCAGAUUACCCUGCAUGAGCCCUGAUGCUUCCAGCCGCAUCUUCGAA
rnacentral:lncRNA from 1 species